AAUCAUCCUUUCCCCAUUUAUAUGUCUCACAGCAGAGUUGCCUAGAACGAGUGCUGCUUCUAGUCUGUGCCCAUCUUUCUAUUGUUGUGGUUUGAUCGCUGCCUGCUUUGGGUCUGUUCUCUGGGAAAUUCCUCUCUCACGUCCCGGAGGCAUUCAAAUAUGUUCCAUAGUGUUAGGGGCUGUGGGCUUCCCUUAGGACCACAAGCCCUGUAGUAGUUUGCUGAUCUGUCUGUAUUUCUGAUACGAGGCCUGAAGUUAACAUCUGAAUUUACUGGUGUUGAGGUUUUAUCUAGCAGCCAUGCACUUCAAUGAGAAUGCUGAGUCCCCACAACAGAAGACAGCCAAGGAGAAACUAUGUACAGACUUGCCAAACAAUUUAUCAUCAAAGACCCUCUUCCUUAUUGGGAUGCCGUCCAGCGGAUUCCUGUGCCCCAGGACUUGUGUGCUCAGCUUGACAGACCUUCCAUGGAGGAUGCUGUUGCUG